rnacentral:lncRNA from 1 species
AUAACUUGCAGGUCAGAGUUCUGCUUCACUCGGAGCAUGUGUGUUAAGGUGUCGCUGAUGUCCCCUCGUGUGUGAAGUGAUCAGUCUGCAGUAGCUUGUUUUCCAUUGCUGUGAAACAAUUCCCACGUAAACAGGCUUAUUUAGCCUAGAGUUUGGGAGGUGUCUGUGCAUGGUGUCUACAUUUAGUCACUGGUGAGGACACUUUGGCUUCCUUGUAUCAUGCAUAGAAUUGUGGCAGAUGACCUGUGAGAGGGAAAGGUCAUCAUGGCAACAUCGUGGGGAAAAGAGAGGCAGAGGUAGUGAUUUCUUUUAAAUAAAAACGCCUUCUUCCGGAACCAAGACAGGCUCUCACAACAACUGCUGUAUGUGUGCAAAGUGCCAACAUUCCCAGUGACCUCACCACUUCCCACCAGGCUACUCCCCCAUCUCAACUCCAGCAUGCUAAGAAUCCCCUACCUCUCGUGAUAAAGUUGGUAACAAAAUAGUUUGAAAUAGCUUUAUGAUACAGAGUUUUUAUUUGGUUUUAAUAAAAAAACAACAACCAAAAAAGAAAGCUAUGGAGUUAGAGAGUUACUUGCUUAAUAAACGUUUUAAAGCUUGUUUGUUUUUGAGAUGGUCUCAUUUAACCUAACUUGGCAUCUCCUCAAGUAGGUGAGAAUAACUUUUGACCUUCUGAUCCUCCAGGCCCUACUCCUCUCAGCAUAGCAGUGUAGGUGUGCACCACCAUGCCUGGUUUAAGACUUGCAGCUGAAGAAACUCGGUGGCUAAGAGCAUUGGCUGCAUUUAACAGAUCCAGGACUCAGUUCUCAGCCCCCGUGUCACAGCUUACAGUUGUCUGUAACUCCAGUUCCAAUGGACCAGACACUGGCUUCUGGCUUCUGUAGGCACUACACAUUCAUACAUGGAUGCAGGCAAAUGCUCAUACACAUAAAAUAAAAAUAAUCUUAA